UGAACGAUGUGUGUGCUCCACAGAAACAAAUAUUUUUGAUAGAUUCAAACAAAUUUCGGAACAGUUUCCCAGGUGCUUUCGGUAUUCCUGUGCCGUGGACGUGAAUAUUUCCAUCUAAAACAGUUUCCUGCUUUCGGCGUCGUCGGCAAUCAAAAUUAAUGUAGAAAUUGAGAAUCCGCCCGACAGUCCGCAGGGCAUUCCGUUCUUCACUAAAUGCAUCGCCAGCGAGCAGCCCAUCCGGACUGGA